rnacentral:rRNA from 1 species
CUUGACCUCGGAUCAGGUAGGGAUACCCGCUGAACUUAAGCA